rnacentral:rRNA from 1 species
AACGGCCGCGGUAUUCUAACCGUGCAAAGGUAGCGUAAUCACUUGUCUUCUAAAUAAAGACUAGUAUGAACGGCUAAAUGAGGACAAACCUGUCUCUUAUAACUAAUCAGUGAAACUGAUCUCCCAGUCCAAAAGCUGGGAUAAUACAUCAAGACGAGAAGACCCUGUGGAGCUUCAAACUUACCACUAAUAAGCACAAACACCAAGAGCUGGUAGUGUACAGUUUUGAGUUGGGGCGACUUCGGAACAAAACAAAACUUCCGAGCACGGAAUCACAAAUUCCAACCAAGGGCCACAAGCCAGAGUUUAUAAAACUGACCCAGUAGCACUGAUCGACGAACCAAGUUACCCCAGGGAUAACAGCGCUAUCUUCUUCAGGAGUCCAUAUCGACAAGAAGGUUUACGACCUCGAUGUUGGAUCAGGACACCCAAAUGGUGCAGCCGCUAUUAAAGG